rnacentral:lncRNA from 1 species
AUGAUGCCAAAGACCGCAGUGCUAUCCUGACUCAAGGAAGAACAUGUCAUGGGAAGAUGGUAGGGAGAGGUGAGAUAGGGAUGAGCCCAAGGGAAGGCCUUGGAUGCCAGAAGCAAGAGCCCAGACUUCACCAACAUAGAUUCUAAGAAAACUGCUAGCAGAGAAGGGAGCUGGUGGGCAUGGAAUGUUAAGAAGGCCAGGGGUCAUAAUCUCACCCAGCCACCGCAGCAGCUGUCACCAAGACACCCACCUCUCAGAGAGCCUUGCUUGCAGACCCCUUCAUCUGAUGGAUUCUCCCGAGAGCAUAGGCAUCCUGGGACCACGGAGCAGCCACCAACGACUACAGAUGAAACACAAGCCUCUCCGGUCACUUUUUGCUGGCCGUUGGAAGGAGGCUGUUGAGUGGGAGUGGAACCUCCAGGUUUCCUGGGGCACUAUUCUGGAUCCCCUCAUCUCAGCUCUGUGAGGUCAUGGCUAAGCCUGAAACAGGUCCCAACUCAUUCAAUCUUGCCAUAAACCUAUGAAAUGGGUGUCAGCCAUGAGGCUUUGGUUGCAAAUAACAGAAACCCCAACUUAACUGUCAUAUGGAAGCAGAGAAGCAACUGACUCUUUGCCAGAGGCUUAUGUCAUGACUCCAAGUAGUGAGGGGGUGGCUGUUCAGGUCAAAGGAUUAGCAACAAUGACUGGCUUAAACAACGAAAAACUGCAUCUAUGAUCUUAGCAACAACAUUCAGUAACAUUAGGUAUCACCAGGGAGGAGGACGCCACCUCCCUGGUGAUAGCUGAUUGGACCAGAGGGAAGCCCCAGUCCCAGGGCAGCCAAUCAGCAGCCUGCAAGCAGCCAAUGAGAUGGCCUGGAGGGGGAGUUCUGCCCAAUCACAAUACCAAUAAAUAAGAGGUCCAGGCUGGAUCUCUGUCUUGGAGAUUUGAGCCGGAGAUUUGAGCGAGAGAUUUGGAAGAAAUGUGGGGCAAUCUGUAGAAGGAGCAGAAGACAAAAAUCACACUGAAGGCAGUGAGUGGAGGAGCUUGUGCUGCAGGAUACAGAAGCCAGGAGAGAGUGAGGCGCAGGCAGAGCCAGCCUGGCGAGGACUAAGCCAUGUUUAAAGCCAUGAAUGGAAGGUUCUCUGUCCCCAGAAGUGAAGCAGGACUUUCCCAGUCCCCAGUUUGUUCUGGUCUUUAGAAGCUGGCGAGUGGCCAGCCAUGAAGGCCAUGCCAAGUGACUGGCAUGGCUGAGUUGCUAUCCUUAUAUGUGGCCUCCCAUCUGCCCCUCGCCUUCACUGGAGAGGCAGCAAGGAGGGCAUUGAAGCCUGAAAUUCUGAAGAAUUUUCUUGCAG